rnacentral:rRNA from 1 species
UGAGGAAUAUUGGUCAAUGGGCGGGAGCCUGAACCAGCCAAGUCGCGUGAGGGAAGACGGUCCUACGGAUUGUAAACCUCUUUUGCCGGGGAGCAACGGGCGCCACGUGUGGUGCUGUGAGCGUACCCGGAGAAAAAGCAUCGGCUAACUCCGUGCCAGCAGCCGCGGUAAUACGGAGGAUGCGAGCGUUAUCCGGAUUUAUUGGGUUUAAAGGGUGCGUAGGCGGCGCCCCAAGUCAGCGGUAAAAAUGCGGUGCUCAACGCCGUACAGCCGUUGAAACUGGGGGGCUCGAGUGCGCCAGGAGCAUGCGGAAUGCGCAGUGUAGCGGUGAAAUGCAUAGAUAUUGCGCAGAACUCCGAUCGCGAAGGCAGCAUGCUAUGGCGGGACUGACGCUGAGGCACGAAAGCGUGGGGAUCGAACAGG